rnacentral:tRNA from 5 species
GCCGACUUGGCUCAGUGGUAGAGCAGCUCCAUGGUAAGGAGCAGGUCGUGGGUUCGAUUCCCACAGUCGGCUCCG